GACAGAGGAUGCAAGCGUUAUCCGGAAUGAUUGGGCGUAAAGCGUCUGUAGGUGGCUUUUCAAGUCCGCCGUCAAAUCCCAGGGCUCAACCCUGGACAGGCGGUGGAAACUGCCAAGCUGGAGUACGGUAGGGGCAGAGGGAAUUUCCGGUGGAGCGGUGAAAUGCGUAGAGAUCCGGAGGAACACCAGUGGCGAAAGCGGCCACCUGGACUGCACCUGACGCUGAAACGCGAAAGCUAGGGGAGCGAACGGG
rnacentral:rRNA from 1 species